GUGGGGAAUCUUCCGCAAUGGGCGAAAGCCUGACGGAGCAACGCCGCGUGAGUGAAGACGGCCUUCGGGUUGUAAAGCUCUGUUAUAUGGGACGAACGGGUGUAUGGUCAAUACCCAUACGCCGUGACGGUACCGUAAGAGAAAGCCACGGCUAACUACGUGCCAGCAGCCGCGGUAAUACGUAGGUGGCAAGCGUUGUCCGGAAUCAUUGGGCGUACAGGGCGCGCAGGCGGUUCGGUAAGUCGGUCUUAAAAGUGCGGGGCUUAACCCCGUGAUGGGAUUGAAACUGCCGGACUGGAGUGUCGGAGAGGAAAGCAGAAUUCCUAGUGUAGCGGUGAAAUGCGUAGAUAUUAGGAGGAAUACCAGUGGCGAAAGCGGCUUUCUGGACGACAACUGACGCUGAGGCGCGAAAGCCAGGGGAGCAAACGGGAUUAGAUACCCGAGUAGUCC
rnacentral:rRNA from 1 species